AUUGAACGCUGGCGGUAUGCUUAACACAUGCAAGUCGAACGAUGAGAAAGAGCUUGCUCUUUCGAUUAGUGGCGGACGGGUGCGUAACGCGUAGGAAUCUACCUAUUAGUGGGGGACAACUUAGGGAAACUUAAGCUAAUACCGCAUACGCCCUACGGGGAAAGAAGGGGAUCGCAAGACCUUUUGCUAAUAGAUGAGCCUGCGUAGGAUUAGCUAGUUGGUGGGGUAAAAGCUCACCAAGGCGACGAUCCUUAACUGGUUUGAGAGAAUGAUCAGUCACACUGGAACUGAGACACGGUCCAGACUCCUACGGGAGGCAGUAGUGGGGAAUAUUGGACGAUGGGCGAAAGCCUGAUCCAGCAAUACCGCGUGUGUGAAGAAGGCCUUAGGGUUGUAAAGCACUUUCAAUUGGAAGGAAAACCUCGAAGCUAAUACCUUCGAGUUUGACAUUACCUUUAGAAGAAGCACCGGCUAACUCCGUGCCAGCCGCCGCUGUAA
rnacentral:rRNA from 1 species